rnacentral:rRNA from 1 species
AUGGCCGACAAGGAGGGUUCCGGCGAGGUGGGUUCUGCUCCUCAGCAGCAUGGGGCGGUUGAGGCGAUCAAGACGGACGUCCAGUGCGCCGCUGAAACAGAGACAACAACCAGCAGGAAGCAACGGCUUCCCGACGUGUACGUGAGUUCCAUCCUGGCCAUGCCGAUAGAGGAGUUCCACGACCUAGAGAUGCCCUCCUACCUCCUGCGCGACAACAUGGCGGAGAUCCUCGGCGUCACGGAGGAGUGGCUCGAGGAUCAAAGGCGGACCCACAGGGAGGCCGACGUCCUUCACAAGAGGAUCCACCACGACUUCCUGCAGUACCAGGCCGAGGUCCGCGACGAGUGGUUUGACAAGGGCUACGUGGAGGUCGACGACAACUACUUCACCGACCUGGCCGAGAUCGAGGAAGAGGCCAGGGCAAUCCAAGAAGAGGCGGACAAGAAGCGGGGGCCAGCACCUGCAAUCGCAUUGGAUGUUGCUCCUCCGUAUGACUACGAGAAGCAGGCCACGCGCUUGCUAGCUCUAUGA